rnacentral:rRNA from 1 species
CCGUAACUAUAACGGUCCUAAGGUAGCGAAAUUCCUUGUCGGGUAAGUUCCGACCUGCACGAAUGGCGUAAUGAUGGCCAGGCUGUCUCCACCCGAGACUCAGUGAAAUUGAACUCGCUGUGAAGAUGCAGUGUACCCGCGGCAAGACGGAAAGACCCCGUGAACCUUUACUAUAGCUUGACACUGAACAUUGAGCCUUGAUGUGUAGGAUAGGUGGGAGGCUUUGAAGCGUGGACGCCAGUCUGCGUGGAGCCAACCUUGAAAUACCACCCUUUAAUGUUUGAUGUUCUAACGUUGGCCCCUUAUCGGGGUUGCGGACAGUGUCUGGUGGGUAGUUUGACUGGGGCGGUCUCCUCCCAAAGCGUAACGGAGGAGCACGAAGGUUAGCUAAUCCUGGUCGGACAUCAGGAGGUUAGUGCAAUGGCAUAAGCUAGCUUGACUGCGAGCGUGACGGCGCGAGCAGGUGCGAAAGCAGGUCAUAGUGAUCCGGUGGUUCUGAAUGGAAGGGCCAUCGCUCAACGGAUAAAAGGUACUCCGGGGAUAACAGGCUGAUACCGCCCAAGAGUUCAUAUCGACGGCGGUGUUUGGCACCUCGAUGUCGGCUCAUCACAUCCUGGGGCUGAAGUAGGUCCCAAGGGUAUGGCUGUUCGCCAUUUAAAGUGGUACGCGAGCUGGGUUUAGAACGUCGUGAGACAGUUCGGUCCCUAUCUGCCGUGGGCGCUGGAGAAUUGAGGGGGGCUGCUCCUAGUACGAGAGGACCGGAGUGGACGCAUCACUGGUGUUCGGGUUGUCAUGCCAAUGGCACUGCCCGGUAGCUAAAUGCGGAAGAGAUAAGUGCUGAAAGCAUCUAAGCACGAAACUUGCCCCGAGAUGAGUUCUCCCUGAGACUUUAAGUCUCCUGAAGGAACGUUGAAGACGACGACGUUGAUAGGCCGGGUGUGUAAGCGCAGCGAUGCGUUGAGCUAACCGGUACUAAUGAACCGUGAGGCUUAACCUU